AUUGAACGCUGGCGGCAGGCCUAACACAUGCAAGUCGAGCGGAGCAGCGGACGGGUGAGUAAUGGCUAGGAAUCUGCCUGGUAGUGGGGGAUAACGUCCGGAAACGGGCGCUAAUACCACAUACUAUCACAUGAGCCUAGGUCGGAUGAGCUAGUUGGAGGGGUAAAGGCCUACCAAGUCGACGAUCCGUAACUGGUCUGAGAGGAUGAGCAGUCACACUGGGACUGAGACACGGUCCAGACUCCUACGGGAGGCAGCAGUGGGGAAUAUUGGACAAUGGGCGAAAGCCUGAUCCAGCCAUGCCGCGUGUGUGAAGAAGGUCUUCGGAUUGUAAAGCACUUUAAGUUGGGAGGCGUUACCAACAGAAUAAGCACCGGCUAACUUCGUGCCAGCAGCCGCGGUAAUUC
rnacentral:rRNA from 1 species